UGCAAGUCUGAACUUGUUUGGAAUCAACAUGUGUCGGCCUCAAAGAAAAACAUAAAGUCACUGAGCGAAAAGUCAGCGACUUUUGUUAUGUACACGGUGCAUUAUGCAGCAUGCAUGAAAUGUGAAUUGUUCUGGAAGUAUCGAAAGAUUCAAUGUGGUUUUAUUUCUACCUCCAUGGUUUAUUACAUAGGUUUUGCAACAACAGUUAUUAUCCAGAGAUGUAGAAGUUAGAACCGCGGAGGGGCCGGAACUUAUGGAACAUCUUCACGAUAAUUUGGUUCCAGUGAUGGGGGAGUGCAACCUGAGUGCUGAGGCAUGCCUUUCUGAAUUCCAAGCCAUCCGGAUCUCUGGACCCCAGGGGCUAAAUUCUUGUUAAGGAUCAGAGAUCCAUCUGCUGGGUCAUUGUAAACAAGCCAUCAUAAUACACUGUACUUCCUAGAAGUCUCUUGAGGCUGCGCCAACAUAGAGAAAGAUGGUCUCAAGAACGUUCUUCACAAAGAGCCAGAAGUUUUAUACAUCUUCCUCCUUCACUCAGACUGUAGGCUCUUUGCCUUGGAAAGGAACAAAGACCAUCUGGAUUUCAAGAAGAACCUGUUGCUCCUUUUCCCACAACUUGCAGCAUCGGGUAUUUCAAUUCUCAAGAACAUCAUGAAAAACAACCCAACCAGGCUAUAAGGGUAUCAACCUCUUCAAGCUUGGUAUAUGUACCUGUAGAAGUUAGAUUUCGUAUUGAACUGCCGCAGAUAGUAACUAGCACCGUUAACUAACACAUGAACUAUUGAGGUAUGCUUGUAUGAUGGCUAUAGGAGUGUACAAGAUAUUGACUCCACUGCUUGAUGCUGACGUUUUGAAACAUGCUAAGAAGUUUCUGUCUGAGUUGGAUUUUUUAAAGGUG